AACGAACGCUGGCGGCAGGCCUAACACAUGCAAGUCGAGCGCGCCCUUCGGGGUGAGCGGCGGACGGGUGAGUAACGCGUGGGAACGUGCCCCUUUCUACGGAAUAGCCUCGGGAAACUGAGAGUAAUACCGUAUACGCCCUUUGGGGGAAAGAUUUAUCGGAAAAGGAUCGGCCCGCGUUGGAUUAGGUAGUUGGUGGGGUAAUGGCCUACCAAGCCGACGAUCCAUAGCUGGUUUGAGAGGAUGAUCAGCCACACUGGGACUGAGACACGGCCCAGACUCCUACGGGAGGCAGCAGUGGGGAAUCUUAGACAAUGGGGGCAACCCUGAUCUAGCCAUGCCGCGUGAGUGAUGAAGGCCUUAGGGUUGUAAAGCUCUUUCAGCUGGGAAGAUAAUGACGGUACCAGCAGAAGAAGCCCCGGCUAACUCCGUG
rnacentral:rRNA from 1 species